AGCUCCAAUAGCGUAUAUUAAAGUUGUUGCGGUUAAAAGCUCGUAGUUGGGUUUCUGUGGAGGGCGGCCGGUCCGCACUACGUGCGUGUAUCUGGUUUGGCCUCUGCAUCCUCUUGGGGAACGCUGCUGCGCUUCACUGCGUGGCACGGUAUUCAAGACUUUUACUUUGAGGAAAUUAGAGUGUUCACGGCAGGCAAUCGCCCUGAAUACAUUAGCAUGGAAUAAUAAUAUAGGAUCUCGAUUCUAUUUUGUUGGUUUCUAGAAACGAGAUAAUGAUUAAUAGGGAUAAUUGGGGGCAUUCGUAUUAUCACGUCAGAGGUGGAAUUCUUGGAUUGUGUUACGACGAACUACUGCGAAAGCAUUUGCCAAGGAUGUUUUCA
rnacentral:rRNA from 1 species